rnacentral:rRNA from 1 species
GACAGAGGUGCCGAGCGUUAGGCGGAAUCACUGGGCUUAAAGCGUGUGUAGGCGGACUUCUAAGUACCUUGUGAAAUCCCCCGGCUCAACCGGGGAACUGCUUGGUAUACUGGUUGUCUUGAGCCACUUAGGGGCAGUCGGAACAGACGGUGGAGCGGUGAAAUGCGUAGAUAUCGUCUGGAACGCCAAAGGUGAAAACAGAACUGCUGGGAGUGUGCUGACGCUGAGACACGAAAGCCAGGGGAGCAAACGGG